AAGCAACUCGAAUGCAUUGUGGUUUGCAAAAUCUUCAAACUGUUGAGAAAUGCAUAGUGAGCCACUGAAUCAAAGUCCAAUCCUAACUGAAAGCACUGCAUGAAUGGAUUGAAAUCAUGGAAUUGGAAGGUAAAAAGGGAGCAAUAUAUUGCUUUACCUGUCCUCUGGCUCGUUUAUGUCUAAGGCCAAUGUAAAACUCAUCGUUCAGAAGCU